rnacentral:rRNA from 1 species
UACGGAGGAUGCGAGCGUUAUCCGGAUUUAUUGGGUUUAAAGGGUGCGUAGGCGGACUGUCAAGUCAGCGGUAAAAUACGGGGGCUCAACCUCCGCCCGCCGUUGAAACUGACGGUCUUGAGUGGGCGAGAAGUAUGCGGAAUGCGUGGUGUAGCGGUGAAAUGCAUAGAUAUCACGCAGAACUCCGAUUGCGAAGGCAGCAUACCGGCGCCCAACUGACGCUGAGGAGCGAAAGCGUGGGGAGCGAACAGG